rnacentral:lncRNA from 1 species
GGAAUAUCGGGAUCAGGGGCGCAGCUGAUGUUAGAUACCAUUGUGACGUCAGGACCGCUAAUGUUUGACUGGCAGCAGACAGCCAGGGCCAUCUUAACACCAGCACAAUGUAUAGUGUGGAACAGCAGACAAUUCUGGGCUCACCUCUCAGUGACAGCUCUGUGAACUGCCUCCAGCUUCUUAGCAUGUUUUUAAGAGCCUGCUGACACCUUGCAAUUAUCACUCAUCAGUCAUUUCUCAAGAGACUUGCUUUUACUGCCUGAAAGUUACUUAUCAUCCAGGAAGCAACACUGUAGUUGAUGUGCCUUGUCCUUUCUAUUCCUCACCCAUUUCCAAUUCUCCUCCUUCGAAUUUCAUUGCAUCUUAUUCCGAUAAUUUCACAAGGCAGUCUUGGCAUCAUUGUGAAAUGCAUUUAGAGAAGACCACAGAUCCUCUGUUCGUACAGACUGAAACAGUCUAUUCUUCAAAUGGGACUACUUAUUCAUCAGCUCUGUGUAAUAAAGCACCUACAUCUUCC